rnacentral:rRNA from 1 species
AUUGAACGCUGGCGGCAGGCUUAACACAUGCAAGUCGAACGAGUGGCGGACGGGUGAGUAAUGCUUGGGAAUCUAGCUUAUGGAGGGGGAUAAAUACUGGAAACGGUAGAUAAUACCGCAUACCAUCGGAUGUGCCCAGAUGGGAUUAGCGAGUAGGUGGGGUAACGGCUCACCGAGGCGACGAUCCCUAGCUGGUCUGAGAGGAUGACCAGCCACACGGGAACUGAGACACGGUCCAGACUCCUACGGGAGGCAGCAGUGGGGAAUAUUGCACAAUGGGCGCAAGCCUGAUGCAGCCAUGCCGCGUGUAUGAAGAAGGCCUUCGGGUUGUAAAGUACUUUCAGCGAGGAGGCGUUACCCGCAGAAGAAGCACCGGCUAACUCCGUGCCAGCAGCCGCGGUAAUAC